rnacentral:rRNA from 1 species
UUAACACAUGCAAGUCGAGGGCAGCGCGGGCGGCAACGUCCUGGCGGCGACCGGCGGAAGGGUGCGUAACGCGUGAGCGACAUGCCCGUUGCCCGGGGACAACCGGUGGAAACGCCGACUAAUCCCCGGUGGGAUACGAUGCUUCAUGGCAUUGUAUUGAAAGUUACGGCGGCGACGGAUUGGCUCGCGUCCGAUUAGCUGGUUGGCGGGGUAACGGCCCACCAAGGCUACGAUCGGUAGGGGUUCUGAGAGGAAGGCCCCCCACAAUGGGACUGAGACACGGCCCAUACUCC